rnacentral:rRNA from 1 species
CGAGCGUUGUCCGGAAUCACUGGGCGUAAAGGGCGCGUAGGCGGCGCGGGCAGUCAACGGUGAAAGUUCGGGGCUCAACCCUGAAUCGGCCGUCGAUACUCCCGGGCUUGAGCACUGUAGAGGCUAAUGGAAUUCCGGGUGUAGCGGUGGAAUGCGUAGAGAUCCGGAAGAACACCGGUGGCGAAGGCGGUUAGCUGGGCAGUUGCUGACACUGAGGCGCGACAGCGUGGGGAGCAAACAGG